AGUCGAGGGGUAACAGAGAAAGCUUGCUUUUUUGCUGACGACCGGCGCACGGGUGCGUAACGCGUAUGCAAUCUACCUUUUGCUGAGGGAUAGCCCAGAGAAAUUUGGAUUAAUACCUCAUAGUAUGGUGACUUGGCAUCAAGAUAUCAUUAAAGGUUACGGCAAAAGAUGAGCAUGCGUUCUAUUAGUUAGUUGGUGUGGUAACGGCACACCAAGGCAGCGAUAGAUAGGGGUCCUGAGAGGGAGAUCCCCCACACUGGUACUGAGACACGGACCAGACUCCUACGGGAGGCAGCAGUGAGGAAUAUUGGACAAUGGAGGCAACUCUGAUCCAGCCAUGCCGCGUGCAGGAAGACUGCCCUAUGGGUUGUAAACUGCUUUUAUACAGGAAGAAACACCUCUACGUGUAGAGGCUUGACGGUACUGUAAGAAUAAGGAUCGGCUAACUCCGUGCCAGCAGCCGCGGUAAUACGGAGGAUCCAAGCGUUAUCCGGAAUCAUUGGGUUUAAAGGGUCCGUAGGUGGAUAAUUAAGUCAGAGGUGAAAUCCUGCAGCUUAACUGUAGAAUUGCCUUUGAUACUGGUUGUCUUGAGUUAUUAUGAAGUAGUUAGAAUAUGUAGUGUAGCGGUGAAAUGCAUAGAUAUUACAUAGAAUACCAAUUGCGAAAGGCAGAUUACUAAUAAUAUACUGACACUGAUGGACGAAAGCGUGGGGAGCGAACAGGA
rnacentral:rRNA from 1 species